AUAAAAAGUGAUAUUCUAAAGGUACCCAAUCUUGUCUGAUCUUGGAAAGUAAGCAGGGUCAGCUCUAGUUAGUACUUAGAUGGGAGACAGCCAAUGAAUACUAGGUACUGUGGGAU
rnacentral:rRNA from 1 species